rnacentral:rRNA from 1 species
ACGAAGGUGGCAAGCGUUGUUCGGAUUCACUGGGCGUACAGGGUGUGUAGGCGGUUUGGUAAGCCCUCUGUGAAAGCUUCGGGCCCAACCCGGAAAGCGCAGGGGGGACUGCCAGGCUAGAGGACGGGAGAGGAGCGCGGAAUUCCCGGUGUAGCGGUGAAAUGCGUAGAGAUCGGGAGGAAGGCCGGUGGCGGAGGCGGGUUGCUGGGCUGACACUGACGCUGAACUGCGAAAGCUAGGGGAGCGAACGGGA